AUGAACGCUGGCGGCGUGCCUAAUACAUGCAAGUCGAGCGAACAGACGAGGAGCUUGCUCCUCUGACGUUAGCGGCGGCCGGGUGAGAAACCCGUGGAUAACCUACCUAUAAGUCUGGGAUAACUUCGGGAAACCGGAGCUAAUCCCGGAAAAUAUAUUGAACCGCAGGGUUCAAUAGUAAAAGACGGUUUUGCUGUCACUUACAGAUGGAUCCGCGCCGCAUUAGCUAGUUGGUAAGGUAACGGCUUACCAAGGCGACGAUGCGUAGCCGACCUGAGAGGGUGAUCGGCCACACUGGAACUGAGACACGGUCCAGACUCCUACGGGAGGCAGCAGUAGGGAAUCUUCCGCAAUGGGCGAAAGCCUGACGGAGCAACGCCGCGUGAGUGAUGAAGGUCUUCGGAUCGUAAAACUCUGUUAUUAGGGAAGAACAAAUGUGUAAGUAACUAUGCACGUCUUGACGGUACCUAAUCAGAAAGCCACGGCUAACUACGUG
rnacentral:rRNA from 1 species